GAUACUUACCCUACCGAAGUAUCCGCCUGAGAACUACGAGCACAAACGCUUAAAACUCUAAGGACUUGGCGGUGCUCCAAACCCACCUAGAGGAGCCUGUUCUAUAAUCGAUAACCCACGAUAAACCCAACCGCUCUUUGCCAAAGCAGCCUACAUACCGCCGUCGCCAGCUCACCUUCCCUGAAAGAACAACAGUGAGCACAAUAGCCCACAGUACCGCUAGCAAGACAGGUCAAGGUAUAGCCCAUAGAGCGGAAGAAAUGGGCUACAUUUUCUAGAAUAGAAAAUUUUACGAAAAGGGGCAUGAAACUACCCCUAGAAGGCGGAUUUAGCAGUAAAGAGGGAUAAUAAGUGCCCUCUUUAAGCUGGCCCUGGAG
rnacentral:rRNA from 1 species